rnacentral:rRNA from 1 species
AGAAUCAACGCUGGCGGCGUGCCUCAGACAUGCAAGUCGAACGAUUAAAGCUCUCUUCGGAGAGUGUAUAGAGUGGCGCACGGGUGAGUAACACGUAAGUAAUCUACCUCGGGGUGGGGAAUAACGUUCGGAAACGGACGCUAAUACCGCAUAAUGCAGCGGCUUCUUAUGUAAGACAGUUGUUAAAGCAUUUAUGUGCCUGGAGAGGAGCUUGCGGCAGAUUAGCUAGUUGGUAAGGUAAUGGCUUACCAAGGCGACGAUCUGUA